AUUGAACGCUGGCGGCAGGCCUAACACAUGCAAGUCGAACGAGUGGCGGACGGGUGCGUAAUGUAUGGGAAACUGCCCGAUGGAGGGGGAUAACUACUGGAAACGGUAGCUAAUACCGCAUACCAUCGGAUGUGCCCAGCUGGGAUUAGCUAGUAGGUGGGGUAACGGCUCUCCUAGGCGACGAUCCCUAGCUGGUCUGAGAGGAUGACCAGCCACACUGGAACUGAGAAACAGUCCAGACUCCUACGGGAGGCAGCAGUGGGGAAUCUUCCACAAUGGGCGAAAGCCUGACGGAGCAAAGCCGCGUGAAUGAAGAAGGUCUUCGGAUCGUAAAGCUCUGUUAGUAGGGAGGCGUUACCUGAACAAAAAGCCACGGCUAACUACGUGCCAGCAGCCGCGGUAAUAC
rnacentral:rRNA from 1 species